rnacentral:rRNA from 1 species
CGGGAAACUGGGGAUAAUACCCUAUAGACUAUGGAUGCUGGAAUGCUCUGUAGCCAAAAGGUCCGCCGCUGUAGGAUGGGUCUGCGGCCGAUUAGGUUGUUGUUGGGGUAACGGCCCAACAAGCCUGUAAUCGGUACGGGUUGUGGGAGCAAGAGCCCGGAGAUGGAUUCUGAGACACGAAUCCAGGCCCUACGGGGCGCAGCAGGCGCGAAAACUUUGCAAUGCGGGAAACCGUGACAAGGGAACUCUGAGUGCCCGUAAAAUCGGGCUGUCCAUUGGUGUAAAAAACCAGUGAAGAAAGGGCCGGGCAAGACCGGUGCCAGCCGCCGCGGUAACA